UACGAAGGGUGCAAGCGUUACUCGGAAUUACUGGGCGUAAAGCGUGCGUAGGCGGUUUGUUAAGUCCGCUGUGAAAGCCCUGGGCUCAACCUGGGAAUUGCAGUGGAUACUGGCAAGCUAGAGUGCGGUAGAGGAUGGUGGAAUUCCCGGUGUAGCGGUGAAAUGCGUAGAGAUCGGGAGGAACACCUGUGGCGAAGGCGGCCCCCUGGUUCGGAUACUGACGCUGAUACGCGAAAGCGUGGGGAAGCAAACAGGG
rnacentral:rRNA from 1 species